GGGGCGGCUAACGUGCAGUCGAGGGGUAACGGGGAGAAGCUUGCACUUUGCCGACGACCGGCGCACGGGUGCGGAACGCGUAUGGAACCUGCCCCUGUCAGGGGAAUAGCCCAGAGAAAUUUGGAUUAAUGCCCCAUGGUAUCCCACCACCGCAUGGUGGAGGGAUUAAAGAUUUAUCGGACAGGGAUGGCCAUGCGUACCAUUAGCUUGUUGGUAAGGUAACGGCUUACCAAGGCAACGAUGGUUAGGGGCCCUGAGAGGGGGAUCCCCCACACUGGUACUGAGACACGGACCAGACUCCUACGGGAGGCAGCAGUGAGGAAUAUUGGACAAUGGUCGGGAGACUGAUCCAGCCAUGCCGCGUGCAGGAUGACUGCCCUAUGGGUUGUAAACUGCUUUUAUACGGGAAGAAACGCACCUACGUGUAGGUGUCUGACGGUACCGUAAGAAUAAGGACCGGCUAACUCCGUGCCAGCAGCCGCGGUAAUACGGAGGGUCCGAGCGUUAUCCGGGAAUCAUUGGGUUUAAAGGGUCCGUAGGCGGGCCGUUAAGUCAGGGGUGAAAGUCUGCGGCUCAACCGUAGAAUUGCCUUUGAUACUGGCGGUCUUGAGUCGUUGUGGAGUUGCCGGAACAUGUGGUGUAGCGGUGAAAUGCAUAGAUAUCACAUAGAACACCGAUCGCGAAGGCAGGUGACUAACAACGUACUGACGCUGAUGGACGAAAGCGUGGGUAGCGAACGGGAUUAGAUACCCCGGUAGUCCACGCCGUAAACGAUGGAUACUAGCUGUCGGGCCUUCGGGCUCGGCGGCCAAGCGAAAGUGAUAAGUAUCCCACCUGGGGAGUACGUUCGCAAGAAUGAAACUCAAAGGAAUUGACGGGGGCCCGCACAAGCGGUGGAGCAUGUGGUUUAAUUCGAUGAUACGCGAGGAACCUUACCAGGGCUUAAAUGUAGUGGGACAGGCUUAGAGGAUAGGCUUUUCUUCGGACUCAUUACAAGGUGCUGCAUGGUUGUCGUCAGCUCGUGCCGUGAGGUGUCAGG
rnacentral:rRNA from 1 species